UCCUCUUUAUCCUCAUUACCUUUCAACACAGAACAUGAUUACCAACACAAUCAAAAUUGAAAGAAAAAAAUUAUCUUGAUUAGAAUCAAUGAAGAGAAGAAGGGUGAUUUUGAUAAGUGCCUUCAAUUUUGUUUCCUGCGAAGAAAUAAAAGACAAAAAAGACAAAAUAGAAAAAUUUUUUACGAUCGACACCUUGAGGACACAUCAUCAACAACUUCAAGAACUGAAUAUUCAAUAAAAAGAAAUGAGGGGUUUACUUCAGGGCUAUACCCAACAUUGAAAAUAUAGAGGGAGCAAAACAAA